rnacentral:lncRNA from 1 species
CUCGACCUUCCGGUGCGCAUGCGCACGCGCACUCCCCCACCCCUCACCGAGCUGUGGGGACAGAUGCAGUAAUCAUCCUCAUUCCUCCAGCAGGCCCCUGCUGCUCCCGGGACCGCGUAGUGGUUGUAAGGACACCUAAUUAGACCCAUCAGCGGACAAUGCGGAGGAUCGGCGGCGUACUCCUCCACCCACACGCGGUCACCAGUGUGCUUCCCCUUCACCCCAGCCAGGGUGACUGAUGUGCAAACCAAGCCCUUCGUGGGACCGUCCCUGGUGGAGUCUUGCGCUCAGAACAAGCGACGAUGGCAGCCCCUCUGCCAACGGCCCCCUGGUCCCCUCGUGGGGAAUGACCCAGGACGACCCGGAUAGCCGGGUCCACCCUGUCGUCUGCCAAGGAGCCAGACCACCUCUGCAGCAACUGGAAGGCCCAGUGCCCAGUGCUGGGAGAAAGAGCGCUGCGGAGAGAAGAUUCAUGCUGGGCAUCCACCUGCAGGCCAGGUGGCCAUAUGACUGAGACAGCCAAUGGACCUCACCAUCUCAGUGUUCACUGGAAUUGGUCCAGCCAGCAAAUCUGAAGAGCCUAUUGGGGAGGGUGAGACCCCGAUAACCUUCUUCUGACCCAUGUCAACCAGGAAGGGGGGAGCUCUAGGGGCUGCUGGCAGCCCUUAUGGGAUUUGAGAGACAUCCAAUUGGUUGAUGUCAACACUGAGGAUGAUAAAGAAGAGACCACCAAAACAAGGGCCUUUGUCACACUAGACAAUAGCUUGGGAGGGCCACACUGAAACCCACUGUACCACCAAACCUGUCUGUGUACUCUUAAUCUUUACUGUUUGAAACCACUGUGUUAAGUUUCCUGUUACAGUCUGUGCUCUCUUCUUCUCUGUAGUAUUUCCAAGAGCUCCCACAGAUGCCUGAAACCACAUGAUACUGAAUCUAGAUGUUUUCCCUACCCAUACAUGCCUGUGAUAAAGUUUAAUUUAUAAAUUAGGCACAGUAAGAGGUAAACAAUAGAAGAGACCAGUUCUAAUAGUACUGUGUAAUAAAGGUUCUGUGAAUGAGGUC